rnacentral:rRNA from 1 species
UACGAAGGGGGCUAGCGUUGCUCGGAAUCACUGGGCGUAAAGCGCGCGUAGGCGGCUUUCUAAGUCAGGGGUGAAAUCCUGGAGCUCAACUCCAGAACUGCCUUUGAUACUGGAGAGCUUGAGUCCGGAAGAGGUGAGUGGAACUCCGAGUGUAGAGGUGAAAUUCGUAGAUAUGACAUAGAACACCAAUUGCGAAGGCAGCACACUACACGAAUAUUGACACUGAGACACG